rnacentral:rRNA from 1 species
GACGAACGCUGGCGGCGUGCUUAACACAUGCAAGUCGAACGGAAAGGCCCUGCUUGCAGGGUACUCGAGUGUCGAACGGGUGAGUAACACUUGGGUGAUCUGCCCUGCACUUCGGGAUAAGCCUGGGAAACUGGGUCUAAUACCGUAUAGGAGCCAUUUUUAGUGUUAUGGUUGGAAAGUUUUUUCGGUGUAUGAUGAGCUCGCGGCCUAUCAGCUUGUUGGUUGGGUAAUGGCCUACCAAGGCGGCGACUGGUAGCCGGCCUGAGAGGGUGGACGGCCACAUUGGGACUGAGAUACGGCCCAGACGCCUAAGGGAGGCAGCAGUGGGGAAUAUUGCACAAUGGGCGCAAGCCUGAUGCAGCGACGCCGAGUGGGGGAUGACGGCCUUAGGGUUGUAAACUCCUUUCGCUAGGGACGAAGCUUUUUGUGACGGUACCUAGAUAAGAGGCACCGGCUAACUACGUG